UGUAUCGAAGAAAAUUAGACAGUGUGGAAAGUAAUCUGUUUGAUAAAUUAGGCGAGAAAAUAAGAAGAGUAGGAGAGGAAGAUAGAAGAAAGCCGAUCAACGCGGGCGUCCCUCGCCGCCAUGAUCGCGGGCAUUGCGGACUUUAUUGUUUGCGUUAUCUUACAAGAUCCAAACCGCGCCCUAGGUUUGCCUUAUAUUCGAGAUCACCAUCUCUGCCUGCGGCGUCGAGAAGUAGUAACAGGUCUCCAUUGGUUGUCAUUGAGAUUCUGACGACCUCCAUAAUGAAGCACAAAUGCAAUUGAAGAUCUAAGCGAUGAAGUCUUAACCUCUCGGUGAGGCACUUGAGCAGGUUGUUUUUUGGCAAAAACCUUUUUUCCAGCUUACAAAGAGAUAAAUAAAGAAAAGAAAGGACAAGUCAACUAAGAAACAUCCUGCUCCAGAAGUUACAAAGUAUAAAGUCAUAGAACAGAAAUAAUCUGAAGUCUCAAUUUAUUUGCCACUGGCUUGGCCCUCAUAACAUUUGCUGAAUGAAUUGGUCAUCUUUUGUGAGACGCAGGGAGUUACAACUUAAAAGGAUGUUUAUAACGUCGGGUCUUUACAAUAAAAUUGUAUGUGGGACCUUAAAAUAUUGUGAUGUUGACUAGUGUUUUUAGAGAAAACAUAGCUAAAAAGUUUUUAAAUGCCAUUGAAUAAUCUAGGGAAGAUCUGAAGAGACCUAAGAAGAUAUAACCUAGUAGAAGAUACAAAUUCAAGGGCCCAACCAAUAACACAGAGACAUACCCAGAGCCCAAGGUCAGAAGCUGUACCACAGGAAACCAUAACAACACCACCUCUUCUGCCAAGCCACAUCAUCAGCGGAGGUGUCGCACUCAGCAAUAUUACUAUUACAAUAGCUGUUAAAUGAUCAGCAACCAGCAGUUUCAGCGACGUGUUAUCCUGUUUGCCGCGGGGCUCUCCGGGCAGCGCUGGCGCUGAAGGGGGCGGCGGUGACGUCAUGCUGCAGUCCCUCGCGCCCAACACCGUCAAGCAGUAUCACACGUACUUGACACGCUGGUAUUAAUAUA